rnacentral:lncRNA from 1 species
GUGAGGCAGCCAUAUUGUGACCAUGGGGGAAAGACCAUGAGAACUGAAGGGAAAUGGACUCAGAACCCAGAUAUUGUAAGGCUCCUGGAGCAAGGAGGAAAUAUAUAAAUGUGCAGCAGAUAUGACUUCAUCUCCAAUUUGCUGCCCCUCGAGAGUAUGGCGACCCAAAGAAGAAGAGAAAAGGGAGUCAGUGAUAUCGACCUCCUCAGCA